rnacentral:pre_miRNA from 1 species
UGAUGAUGAUGAUGAUGAUGAUGAUGAUGAUGAUGAUGAUGAUGAUGAUGAUGAUGAUCACCAUCAUAACAAUCAUCAUCAUAAUCCACAUUAUCC